AGUGAACGCUGGCGGCAGGCCUAACACAUGCAAGUCGAACGGCAGCACAGGAGAGCUUGCUCUCUGGGUGGCGAGUGGCGGACGGGUGAGGAAUAUAUCGGAAUCUACCCUUUCGUGGGGGAUAACGUAGGGAAACUUACGCUAAUACCGCAUACGAACUGAGGUUGAAAGCGGCGGACCGCAAGGCGUCGCGCAGAUGGAUGAGCUGAUAUCCGAUUAGCUAGUUGGCGGGGUAAAGGCCCACCAAGGCGACGAUCGGUAGCUGGUCGGAGGGGAUGAUCAGCCACACUGGAACGGGGAUACGGUCCAUACUCCUACGGGAGUGAGCAGUGGAGAAUGUUGGACAAUGGGCGCAAGCCUGAUCCAGCCAUGCUGCGUGGGUGAAGAAGGCCUUCGGGUUGUAAAGCCCUUUAGGCUGGGAAGAAGAUUGGUGGUUUAAGAGACAAUCAAUUUGACUGUACCAGCAGAAUAAGCACCGGCAAACUCUGUGCCAGCAGCCGCCGUAA
rnacentral:rRNA from 1 species